rnacentral:lncRNA from 1 species
AAAUAGUGGAGCCAUCCGGCCGUAUUUCGGCUGGUUGACGUCACCGACCCGCUACCCGUGGAAGUUAUUUAUAGACGCGGAGAAAUUUGGCACGCGCGUCCCGGUCGGGUUAGUCGAGUCGAUUGUCGGGGACUAAACCGUCGCCGUUCUAGUCUGUCUUCUUUUCUUCGACUACGUCGACAGAUCGACAUGGCGGAGUUGGAGAAAAGAACGCGUAGUGUAACAACCUCCGGGGUGGAAAAGCGGUCGUCGAGUCGGCCCAACGAGAAAACCACGGACGGCGUGGAAACGGACCGCGUCACAUCCCCAGCCUCCAUCCGCCAUAACUACCAAAUGAACGGACUGGAGAACCGAAACCAGAUGUACGCCGAUCUUUCGGAUCGGGAUGGGGAGGACCAGGAGGAACUAGUCGAAGGAAUAAAGCCUUCGGUCGACCCUAACGAAGUGGCCAAGCGUUUCAGUCAGG